CGCAGGGGCACUGCCUGAGGGGUAUGAAAGGCUGAAGGAGAGCCAGAGCAGCCCCUCCCAGCCUCCUGAAGGGGUGCACUGAUGUUGCGGAUGGGCUGAAGCUUUCUGCAGUUGGUUGGUGAUGCUCUCUGGGUCGUGGCCAUCUCAACUGUGAGAGACUCUAACCAGUGGACUCCAGCCUGGGAAACACUUCUCUCUUGUGCCAGAAUAGUCAGGUACAGAGAAAUACACCUGAGAGCUGUUCAGUAGCCCUUGAACCAAGACUUUAUAAAUAACCCCAGAAAGCUGCAGUUGCUCAUUUAUCUCUCUUCCUAAAGAAGAUCCUAAAGAGACCCUGAAGACUGAGCUGAGCUGUUGUGUUAGAGAGAUUCACUUGGGUCCUUCUUCACCUGUUUCAGUGCUAUGAGCAGUGGCAGCAUUGGUGAAUACAGUUCUCUUACUGAGGUGUAAGGGAGUUGUACAAGCACAUCCAGGAUACAGGAAAUAAUAACUGCAGAACCUUCUCACCUAACAGAAGUGCCCAGAAAUAGAACUGAAUGUUUUUUUCAUUGUUUGACUAUGGCUGAAGAGAGAGCCUUGGCCUCUGGAGCACCCUCAUCAGCACUACACUCAAAUUUUCCUUCUCUGGGUCAGAUAUGCAAGACUGGUUAAAAAUCCACACACAUUCCUCCAGAAUUUUUGUUUGCAUAUUUUGGAAAAAAGUGGAAUCAGACUUUUGCCUGGUUUUCUGAAUAUUUUGACAGUUCUGCUCCAUGUCACCAACUCAGACCCAGCAGAAGGAGUUUCCUCUUAAAACGUGGAGCAAUUUUCUGCAUUCUUAUUAUAGCAAGAGAAGAAUGAUCCUUCAGAGCCAGGGUGGCAUGAAAGCAUCACCUCUCGCACACCUUUAAACAUCAAAGGGAAAUGCCUGUGGUCCUCCCUCUGCUGAUCUACUUCAAGCUGUGAGGUCUGGUGGCUGCUUCUCUCCUCACCACCCUCAUCUGGAGUCUCUCCUGGCUGUUCUGCAUUUGUCAGCAGUGACAAAAUGAUGCCAGGGCAGACUGAGCUGGUUCUGACCCAGAGAUUCAUCUGGAAGCUACAUCUGACUGCCAUCAACUUAUGAACCAAGACAUCUGUGUACCUCCUGCAGCUACAGCCCUGAAUCUUCAGCAGGAAAUCUUAGUCCAGCGAAUUUAUUUUUAUAAUCUAAUUUGUCUAACAAUAGUGUAAGUAGAGCCUUCUAGUAUGGUUUGGAGUGCUACAACUACAAUGGUGUAUCUCUACUUUUAGUCUGGUCCUACAGUUCCCUCAUCCAUGUCUUCCAUUCAUAGCUAUUUCUUAAACAGGAAUCAUAAAAACAUAUUUACUAGAAAUUUACCAUCAUCUAUCUUGUGGAAUUUCACAGAAAUGUCAUUUUUUUAACCUACAAAUAUAUAUGUGAGCCAUGUUUGAUGCCAUACUUGACAUCUAAAUUUCCUUUAUUUACAUGCUUCUUCACAUAACAGCUUGCUACUGCACAUUCCUGGAGCAUGAGAGGCCUGAACUUCCAUCUAACAACUCCUAUGUAUUUUAACAGGAAUAUUUUUGAGAUAUUUUGACAAUAUCUUGUCAUACAUAUGUUUCUUUUCAGUUGCUCCUUGAGUCACGGUUAACUUCAUAAUGCAAAUUUACAUUAAUUACUAUCCUACUAUCUGAUUUUUCUCCAGAAUAUUCCCUAUAAAAUCCCAGGGAGAAAUAAGUCUACUAUGCCCUCAUAAUGUUUUCUGAUCUGGACAAAAAUGUAUGCAAACAGGGAUUUUUAGUAGCAUCUGAUAUUUUCAGGUUUUGUAAUCAUUAUGCUUUCUGUCAGCAUAGUUGGAAAAUUGGGUAUUCAGAAUAAUACAUUUAUUCUUAAAUGCAGAAAUAGAGCAAAUCCAAUGACAUGGUAAUUUAAGUAAUUCUGUGAAACUAAUUCAUCUCCUUCAUGAUUUAAUUAAAAUAACAGUUUCCAGACUGUAGAUCCACCCUUCUCACUACUACUUGGCAUAUCUGUAACAAGGCACAGUGCGUGAUCCAGGUUCUUCCAUUUCAGCUAAAACCAAAUUAUUAGGGGAGAGAAAAAAAAAAAAAGGGUGAUAAAUAACCCCUGUUACACUGGAUAGGAAAAGGAUAUCAGCAUUAUGAUUGAUGUGGCUGUGGGUAUCUUGGAAAUCCGGUUCCUCAUUUAGAAACUUUCUGUCCAGACUACCCUUAUUAUUAUUUUUUUUUCCCCACUAUUGUAAUUUUUCAGAAUAGACUUGAGAUGAGCCCCUGUCUGCUCAGAAUGAAUGGAGAAAUAUUCAGGUCCAAAAAUAGAACAUACGUGAUAUUUUUAUCCUGUUUUCUGAGUAAAUCCAUACUCUGCUACAAGAAAUCAUUCUCCAAGUAAAAAUACCAUCAGUUUUUACUGCUGUUCAUCCUAAACUCAGUGGUGAGUGGCCACAGUUUUGCAAACUUUCCUGAAAAAAAUAUGAAAGGGCUGCUUUUCUCUGGAGCAUCAGCUUCCUUAGGUUAGCCUGCUGAAGCACAAGGAAUGAACAGAUGUGCUUUUCAUACAGGUUGUGUGGAAGAACUGGCUGAGGAGAGGCUGUAUUUUAGUCUGCCAAGUGUCUCAUUAAACACUGCCAGUCUUAUUCAAAAGAAGAGUACUUGAGCCAGAUUCUUUGACAGGGGAGUCUUACAGAGCCUAGUUAGUAAAAUAUGAAUAAAAUAUGAACUUCCUGAAGUGACACAACUGCUGGGAGACAAAACUUAUUUGUGGAGGUAAGAAUUCACUGCUACUUUGGUACCUCAGGGUCUCUGGCACUGUAAACAGCUGAGAAGAGGGGGAAAUGCAAGUUCUGAAUCAUGUUUCAGCACAUCUGAAAUGCUGUAGUGACCACAGCCUUUUCGCCUGAUCAUCCCAAGUUCCCACUGCUGCAACGUUUUGCUUGUUUUGAAAGGAGGCCCCAAUCUCACCUUGAGAGGAGAAUAGAAAUAACAGUGAAGCAAGCCUAGGAAAGAGCAGAAGAGCAAAAAGAGAAAGUUGAAAGGGAAGUAGAAUAAUUCAUGGUCUGGAAGUGCAGUAAGUACUGAGCUGUAGCUCAGUCUUAUUCACUGCAGAGACUACAGCAGGGAGGUGAGGGUUGGACUGUGGCCAGACCCUGCCAGUGUGAAUUGCAGCAUAAAUUAAUAUUGGGCAUAGAAACAUAAAUGAAGCUGUGUAAACCUCAUGUUCUCUUUGCAUGGAAAUGUAUUAAAUGGUUGUGCAUUUUUUCAUAGCUAAGCAGUGAUGCAUGUUUCUCAGCUACAUCACUGUAAAACAGGACAAAUCUGUGUGGCGGCAUACAUUAGAGAUCCUUUACAAUGACACAACAUUUCUGUCAAAGAUAGUGAUGUGUAGGUAUUCUCUCUUUGUUCUACCAAUAAUAUUGUCCCUUAUCAAUGUGAAGGAGCAGAGGAAGUGUAAAAGCUCUUAAAUAAAAAUUAUUCUUUGAACACUAUAAAAAUACAAAGCUGAAUGAAAUGAGCCACAGUAUUUAUCUGCAAAUACUCAAAGCUUGUUUUUUGCUUUUAAAACAGUUAAAAAUUGGAUCAAGUUAGACCCCUGAGCUAGAUUGAAUUGCAUGUGGUUACGUGAUCCCUAUUACAUUAGAAUGGAUUUAAAACAGCACAAAAAAGCUGUUCUGCUUCUCCCAUUGUCAGUUAUGUGUGUAUCAUAUGUGCAUGGAAUCACAGACCACAAUUUGUUUACCUUUGCUCAAGAACAUGCUUUACAGAAAGAAUAACAGUGCUCAAAAAGGACUGCCAAAGUGAUUGGUCUGUCUCUACUUGUCUUUUUCCCUCACAUGUCCCCUGAAUUUUUCAUUUUAGAAAUGAAAGAUGACAAGACAAUGCAUCUGAGAUUUUGAAAGAGAAGGAAAAGCUAAAUAAGCAGUUAUCUUUUGCCCCAAAUCCUUGAAACAUCUCAAAAAAGAAACAGAAGGGUGUUCAAAUCCUACUGAUAAAAAGCAGCAUAAGACUUGUUAGAGAAUGAAGGGACUGAGCUCUGGAAAAUGCCCCUAGAAUUAAACUUUACUGAUGAAGGAGUGAGUCUAGGUGCUCCUAAUGAUUCAAUAAGUUUACCUAUGAUAACUCUGGUAUUUUUAUGGCUUCAUACAUGUCCUUGUGCUGAAGUGAUGGCAGGGGUUUGAUAUGCUCCUGACUUUGGUAUGCUCCUGUGCCAGGUUACAGAAGAAUCUGGGUUUUGGUAUUGGAAAUGAGUUUUUAGAUGCAUACAAGAGUACCCAAAUUUUGGACUGCUUUUGUGCUGGCAGAAGACAUUGCAUUGUCAUGGUGUUUGGGAUGACAUUAGUGAUUUAAUCUAUAUUUUCCACUUUACAUUGACUAUAGAACCUGAAGUAUUGUGAAUGUUGAAAAAACGGUUAGCUCUGGCUGCUAUUUAUAAGUUUCACUGUUCUGUUGGCAAGACUUGGUGCCUGACAUUCAGCAUGUUCAUCUGGCUGAUUCCCCAUGCUCCCCUACAUAGUAAUAGGUCAGGCACUGACCUGAGUGGGAUGGAAGGGUAUGGGCAGUAAGUAACUGGUGUAGGCAGCAGAGACACAGAAGUGCAUGGAUAAUGUGGGUAGUGCUGCUGGGGAUCUAAAGAGAAAUAGCCACCAGGCUCUCUUGGCUUCUCUGUGGAGGAGGACCUAGGCAAUGAAAGAAAUGCCCAACCCACUUGCUGCACAUGUUGGAUUUGUUUCCAGCUGCAAACACCUUGAGGCAAAGAAUCCGGUGCGAGCGCUGCCUUGGAUUUCUUCUCGAUCCAGUCUUUUCUUUCUCCACGAGGGGAAGCAGGAGUGCCCACAGUUUGUACUGAGAGGGUAGAGUUGGAGGUGUAGCGUCAAAUAUGGCCAAGCUGCAUUUUCACAGCCCUCAUUUACAGAGAGUGGAAUGUGCCACACUGCGAUUCUCUAGGUGCAAAAGGAGCAGCCAGUCUAUACCCUGCCCGUGCUGCAGCGGGGACAGGGAAUCUCUUGCAGCCAUUUGAGGUGUUACCUCUGCCCAACACACCACGGUACCCUCUAGCCAUGAACUAGGAUCGGCUUUCUGUUCAGAAUUGGGAGUGAAAGCUGAUUUGGCUCCAUGUGCGAGAUGGCUGCGGGAGCAGAGGCAAUGUUGGCUCGUCCUGCCGGGG